AUCUGACUAGCUCAGUUGGUUAGAGCACUGCACUGGAAUCGCAGGGCUGCAGGUUAGAGACCUGCCGGAGAGA